rnacentral:rRNA from 1 species
UACGUAGGGGGCUAGCGUUGUCCGGAUUUAUUGGGCGUAAAGAGCUCGUAGGCGGUCUGUCGCGUCUGCUGUGAAAACUCAGGGCUUAACCCUGAGCUUGCAGUGGGUGCGGGCAGACUAGAGUGCGGUAGGGGAGACUGGAAUUCCUGGUGUAGCGGUGAAAUGCGCAGAUAUCGGGAAGAACACCCGUGGCGAAGGCGGCUCUCUGGGACGGUACUGACGCUGAGACGCGAAAGCGUGGGGAGCGAACAGG